GACGAACGCUGGCGGCAUGCCUAAUACAUGCAAGUUGAACGAUGAUAUUCUCUGCUUGCCGAGAAUUGAAGAGUAGCGAACGGGUGAGUAACACGUGGGGAACCUGCCCAUGAGAGGGGGAUAACAUUCGGAAACGGAUGCUAAUACCGCAUAAUGCUUUGGACCGCCUGGUCCAGAGACGAAAGACGGCUUUUGCUGUCACUCAUGGAUGGCCCCGCGCCGUAUUAGCUAGUUGGUGAGGUAAUGGCUCACCAAAGCUGUGAUACGUAGCCGACCUGAGAGGGUGAUCGGCCACACUGGGACUGAGACACGGCCCAGACUCCUACGGGAGGCAGCAGUAGGGAAUCUUCCACAAUGGGCGAGAGCCUGAUGGAGCAAUGCCGCGUGAAUGAAGAAGGUCUUCGGAUCGUAAAGUUCUGUUAUUAGAGAAGAACAAGUCAAGGAGUAACUGUCUUGACUUUGACGGUACCUAACCAGAAAGUCACGGCUAACUACGUG
rnacentral:rRNA from 1 species